AAAGAAUUUCUGAUGAUCUCCAAAACUAGAUAGAAAAAUCCACUGUAAUUACUUAGUUAAAGAAGUAACCUGAACUGGUAGACCUGCAUACUUCUUGGAUGUAAUGUGUUUUUCUUGUGCUUUACUUUCUCUUCUUUAGUCUCUUGCCUUAGAUAUUGUUUAUUUUCUUGUCCUCCACCAGUUACAUUUUUAUUUUGGUGAGAUGGAACCCAUUCCUUUGAUAUCUCAUUCUGUUGAAUGUACAUUAAUUUUGCUUCCAUUCUUUGAAAUACCAAUAAAUACUAAGAGAA